GAUGAACGCUGGCGGCGUGCCUAAUACAUGCAAGUCGAGCGAACAGACGAGGCGCUUGCUCCUCUGACGUUAGCGGCGGACGGGUGAGUAACACGUGGAUAACCUACCUAUAAGACUGGGAUAACUUCGGGAAACCGGAGCUAAUACCGUAUAAUAUAUUGAACCGCAUGGUUCAAUAGUGAAAGACGGUUUUGCUGUCACUUCUCGAUGGAUCCGCGCCGCAUUAGCUAGUUGGUAAGGUAACGGCUUACCAAGGCGACGAUGCGUAGCCGACCUGAGAGGGUGAUCGGCCACACUGGAACUGAGACACGGUCCAGACUCCUAAGGGAGGCAGCAGUAGGGAAUCUUCCGCAAUGGGCGAAAGCCUGACGGAGCAACGCCGCGUGAGUGAUGAAGGUCUUCGGAUUGUAAAACUCUGUUAUGAGGGAAGAACAAAUGUGUAAGUAACUAUGCACGUCUUGACGGUACCUAAUCAGAAAGCAACGGCUAACUACGUG
rnacentral:rRNA from 1 species